rnacentral:rRNA from 1 species
GAUGAACGCUAGCUACAGGCUUAACACAUGCAAGUCGAGGGGCAUCAGGGAUUUAGCUUGCUAAAUUCGCUGGCGACCGGCGCACGGGUGCGUAACGCGUAUCCAACUUUCCCGUUACUCUCGGAUAGCCUUCCGAAAGGGAGAUUAAUACGAGAUGGUGUUUUAAUUUCGCAUGUUAUUAAAACUAAAGAUUCAUCGGUAACGGAUAGGGAUGCGUGACAUUAGAUAGUUGGCGGGGUAACGGCCCACCAAGUCCACGAUGUCUAGGGGUUCUGAGAGGAAGGUCCCCCACACUGGAACUGAGACACGGUCCAGACUCCUACGGGAGGCAGCAGUGAGGAAUAUUGGUCAAUGGUCUGACGACUGAACCAGCCAUGCCGCGUGAAGGUCACGGCCUAUGGUACUUAAACUUCUUUGCAAGGGAGCAAUAAGUCUCACGUGGUGGGAUGAUGAGAGUACCUGACGAAUAAGCAUCGGCUAACUCGU